AGUGAACGCUGGCGGUAGGCCUAACACAUGCAAGUCGAACGGCAGCACAGGAGAGCUUGCUCUCUGGGUGGCGAGUGGCGGACGGGUGAGGAAUACAUCGGAAUCUACUCUGACGUGGGGGAUAACGUAGGGACACUUACGCUAAUACCGCAUACGACCUACGGGUGAAAGCAGGGGAUCUUCGGACCUUGCGCGAUUGAAUUAGCCGAUGUCGGAUUAGCUAGUUGGCGGGGUAAAGGCCCACCAAGGCGACGAUCCGUAGCUGGUCUGAGAGGAUGAUCAGCCACACUGGAACUGAGACACGGUCCAGACUCCUACGGGAGGCAGCAGUGGGGAAUAUUGGACAAUGGGCGCAAGCCUGAUCCAGCCAUACCGCGUGGGUGAAGAAGGCCUUCGGGUUGUAAAGCCCUUUUGUUGGGAAAGAAAUCCAGCUGGCUAAUACCCGGUUGGGAUGACGGUACCCAAAGAAUAAGCACCGGCUAACUUCGUGCCAGCAGCCGCCGCCG
rnacentral:rRNA from 1 species